rnacentral:rRNA from 1 species
UACGUAGGUGACAAGCGUUGUCCGGAUUUACUGGGCGUAAAGCGUGCGCAGGCGGUUCUCCAAGUCCGUUGUGAAAGCCCCGGGCUCAACCUGGGAAUGGCAGUGGAAACUAGGGGACUGGAAUCUGGCAGAGGGGGGUGGAAUGCCGCGUGUAGCAGUGAAAUGCGUAGAGAUGCGGCGGAACACCGAUGGCGAAGGCAGCCCCCUGGGCUGAGAUUGACGCUCAGGCACGAAAGCGUGGGGAGCAAACAGG